rnacentral:tRNA from 1 species
GCAAGGGUAGCCAAGCGGUUAGGCANNUCCAAAACAGCAAGCGAUGAACGUGGGUUCGAAUCCCACCCCUUGCU